AGGGAAUCUUCCACAAUGGACGAAAGUCUGAUGGAGCAACGCCGCGUGAGUGAUGAAGGUUUUCGGAUCGUAAAACUCUGUUGUAAGGGAAGAACCAGUACGUCAGGCAAUGGACGUACCUUGACGGUACCUUAUUAGAAAGCCACGGCUAACUACGUGCCAGCAGCCGCGGUAAUACGUAGGGGGCAAGCGUUAUCCGGAAUUACUGGGCGUAAAGGGUGCGUAGGCGGUUUAUCAAGUCAGGGGUGAAAGGCUACGGCUCAACCGUAGUGAGCCUCUGAAACUGGUGAACUUGAGUGUAGGAGAGGAAAGUGGAAUUCCCAGUGUAGCGGUGAAAUGCGUAGAUAUUGGGAGGAACACCAGUGGCGAAGGCGACUUUCUGGACUACAACUGACGCUGAGGCACGAAAGCGUGGGGAGCAAACA
rnacentral:rRNA from 1 species